rnacentral:rRNA from 1 species
UACGUAGGGUGCGAGCGUUGUCCGGAAUUAUUGGGCGUAAAAGAGCUCGGUAGGGCGGUGUGUCACGUCGGCCGGUAAAACCUGCAGCUUAACUGUGGGCGUGCGGUCGAGUACGGGCAUCACUGGAGUUCGGCAGGGGAGACUGGAAAUUCCUGGUGUAGCGGUGAAAUGCGCAGAUAUCAGGAGGAACACCGGUGGCGAAGGC